UACGUAGGUGACAAGCGUUGUUCGGAUUUACUGGGCGUAAAGGGCGCGUAGGCGGCGCAACAAGUCACUUGUGAAAUCUCCGGGCUUAACCCGGAGCGGUCAAGUGAUACUGUCGUGCUAGAGUGCGGAAGGGGCUACUGGAAUUCUCGGUGUAGCGGUGAAAUGCGUAGAUAUCGAGAGGAACACCUGCGGCGAAGGCGGGUAGCUGGGCCGACACUGACGCUGAUGCGCGAAAGCCAGGGGAGCGAACGGG
rnacentral:rRNA from 1 species